CUUAUUUUUUUUUAAAGGUAUCUUAGAAGAUGGUAAUGUGGUUGCCGAUGAUUCUGAAUAAAUACAGCUUUUAUCCCAGGUGUGCCAUUCUGAAGACUGAGACAAUAGAGUUUUUAAGAAUAAAAGAGAACCCUUGGGAAAUUCUGUAUUGUAUAUAUCAAAAAUAUGAAUCCUGAGGUGGAAUGAAAGGCGUGUAUACUAUAGACAUCGAAGCAUUUACACCCAGCUUGAAGAGUUUGAAAUGGACUUUACCACUGAGAAAUCAAGAUGGCAGCCCAUUAUGGGGAAUUGAGGAAAAUGGAUUAAUGCAAGAAUGCUGUGAUAUUACACAACCAACACAGGAUUCUUUUAAUAUGGAUGCCAUGAAAUGAAUGAUUCUUACCCAACACAAAUGGACAGUGGAAUUUACUUCCUAAAGACUUGUUUCGUAUCAUGUACAUUUUUGACAUCUGGAGAAGAUGCUACAUUUCUACAAAUGGUAGUUUGUAUUCCUGUAGAUUCUUGCCGUUUGCUCUGAGUGACCUUAUGGAAUGUUAACUUUAAUAAAAUUCUAAAACUU
rnacentral:lncRNA from 1 species